GACGAACGCUGGCGGCGUGCUUAACACAUGCAAGUCGAACGGAAAGGCCCUUCGUGGUUCUCGUGUGGCGAUCGGGAGCGUAACACGUAGAUGAUAUGCACUGCCCUUUGACUUUAGCAUGGGUAACUGGGACUAAUACCGAUACGGAACACGCGCUCCUUCGUGUGUGGUGGGAAGCUAAGGCGGUGGGGGAUGGGGACGCGGCUUCUCCGCUUGUUGGUGGGGGAGUGGCAUACCAAGGCGAAGACGGGUAGCCGGCCUGAGAGGGUGACCGGCCACACUGGGACUGAGAUACGGCCCAGACUCCUACGGGAGGCAGCAGUGGGGAAUAUUGCACAAUGGGCGGAAGCCUGAUGCAGCGACGCCGCGUGAGGGAUGACGGCCUUCGGGUUGUAAACCUCUUUCGAUAGGGACGAAGCGCGAGUGACGGUACCUGGAGAAGAAGCACCGGCCAACUACGUG
rnacentral:rRNA from 1 species